rnacentral:tRNA from 1 species
UGGCAAAUAGCUUAAAUAAAGCGCAACACUGAAGAUGUUGUUAUAGGUUUCCUUUUGCCAG